rnacentral:sRNA from 2 species
GAAAUGGACGACUAGGGUUCCGGUUCGCCGCAUGUCGAAUGCGACGGAUGCUGGUCCGAGAGUUGUCGACCUCAAAGGUGCUCGAGGUUACACGGCGGGAUAAAAGCCCGGGAGAG